AGGAUGAACGCUGGCGGCGUGCUUAACACAUGCAAGUCGAACGAUGAAGCCGGAGCUUGCUCUGGUGGAUUAGUGGCGAACGGGUGAGUAACACGUGAGUAACCUGCCCUUGACUCUGGGAUAAGCACUGGAAACGGUGUCUAAUACCGGAUACGAACUUCGACGGCAUCGUCAGGAGUUGGAAAGAAUUUCGGCAAGGAUGGACUCGCGGCCUAUCAGCUAGUGUGAGUACGCCACAAGGCGACGACGGUAGCCGGCCUGAGAGGGUGACCGGCCACACGUGGGACUGAGACACGGCCCAGACUCCGACGGGAGCAGCAGUGGGAAUAGUGCACAAGUGGCGCAAGCCUGAUGCAGCGAACGCCGCGUGGAGGGACGACGGCCGUUCGGGUUGUAAACCCUUCGUUUUAAGGUAAGGAA
rnacentral:rRNA from 1 species